rnacentral:lncRNA from 1 species
AUGGCCGGGCUGGGGCUGGGAGCGGGGCUGCGGCUGCUGCGGCGGAUCCCGCCCGGAUUUGGGGCGCCCCGGCUGCAGAGCACGCACGAGGCGCAGGUAAGAAAACCUCCAAAAUUCCAGAAAAUUCCACAAAAUUCCACAGAAUUCCACAGAAUUCCACAAAAUUCCAGCCCCAAAUCCUUCCCAAAUCCCUUUAAAAAAAGGAUCCCAAAGAAAACCCCGCCCUUCCCUCACGCGCGUGACGUCAGAACUGGGGCAAAGGGCGGGAAGUGGAAACUGGGGGAAAGGUCAAGGGGGGGGAUUUGGGGGAUCCUGAGGGGAUUUGAGGGAUCCUGAGGGGAUUU